rnacentral:rRNA from 1 species
UACACUCCUACGGGAGGCAGCAGUGGGGAAUUUUGGACAAUGGGGGCAACCCUGAUCCAGCAAUGCCGCGUGAGUGAAGAAGGCCUUCGGGUUGUAAAGCUCUUUUGUCAGGGAAGAAACGGUAGUAGCGAAUAACUAUUACUAAUGACGGUACCUGAAGAAUAAGCACCGGCUAACUACGUGCCAGCAGCCGCGGUAAUACGUAGGGUGCAAGCGUUAAUCGGAAUUACUGGGCGUAAAGCGUGCGCAGGCGGUUGUGUAAGUCAGAUGUGAAAUCCCCGGGCUCAACCUGGGAAUUGCAUUUGAGACUGCACGGCUAGAGUGUGUCAGAGGGGGGUAGAAUUCCACGUGUAGCAGUGGAAUGCGUAGAUAUGUGGAGGAAUACCGAUGGCGAAGGCAGCCCCCUGGGAUAACACUGACGCUCAUGCACGAAAGCGUGGGGAGCAAACAGGAUUAGAAACCCUUGUAGUCCCAUGA